UACGUAGGGUGCAAGCGUUGUCCGGAAUUAUUGGGCGUAAAGAGCUCGUAGGCGGUCUGUCGCGUCGGCUGUGAAAACCUGGGGCUCAACUCCGGGCCUGCAGCCGAUACGGGCAGACUAGAAUUCGGUAGGGGAGACUGGAAUUCCUGGUGUAGCGGUGAAAUGCGCAGAGUAUCAGGAGGAACACCGGUGGCGAAGGCGGAUCUCUGGGCCAUUACUGACGCUGAGGAGCGAAAGCGUGGGGAGCGAACAGG
rnacentral:rRNA from 1 species